rnacentral:lncRNA from 1 species
UCAGAAUUACCUAAUCUAUUCGAACUUUUUAUUAACCUGAGACCUCAUGAUGCCUUCUCUCCAUCCUCCCUCGCGAGCCCUGAGCUUCCCUAUUGCAGUAAGUUUCCUCUGUUCUUCCAAUACUUUUUCAGCCUUUUCCCUUGCCGCCUCGCAGCUAUUCAUUCCAGAAUUGCAUUUCUCUGCCUCUUCUGAUACUGGGAUGUCAUUCUCUUAGCCUCCAACAGAGCCAAGUCUGCACGUUGCUGUUUUUUCUGAGCUAGCUUCUUCUUCAUUUAACCUCAGUUCAUCUUUCAACAUGUUUGUUAGACUUUGUUCCAUCUCACGGCUCACUUCAG